rnacentral:rRNA from 1 species
AGAUUAGGUAGUUGGUGAGGUAAUGGCUCACCAAGCUGACGAGUCUGUAGCUGGUCUGAGAGGAUGAUCAGCCACACUGGGACUGAGACACGGCCCAGGACUCCUACGGGAGGCAGGCAAGUGGGGGAAUAUUGGACAAUGGGCGAAAGCCUGAUCCAGCAAUACCGAGUGAGUGAUGAAGGCCUUAGGGGUUGUAAAGCUCUUUUAGCAGGGAAGAUAAUGACGUUACCUGCAGAAAAAGCCCCGGCUAACUCCGUGC